rnacentral:rRNA from 1 species
CCUACGUGUGGCUGCAGUGAGGAAUAUUGGUCAAUGGCCGUAAGCCUGAACCAGCCAAGUCGCGUGAAGGAAGAAUGCUCUACGGUUUGUAAACUUCUUUUAUAAGGGAAUAAAGGUAUCCACGUGUGGAUAUUUGCAUGUACUUUAUGAAUAAGCAUCGGCUAACUCCGUGCCAGCAGCCGCGGUAAUACGGAGGAUCCGAGCUUUAUCCGGAUUUAUUGGGUUUAAAGGGUGCGUAGGUUUGUUGUUAAGUCAGCGGUGAAAGUUUGUGGCUCAACCGUAAAAUUGCCGUUGAAACUGGAAGUCUUGAGUAUAUUUGAGGUAGGCGGAAUGCGUGGUGUAGCGGUGAAAUGCAUAGAUAUCACGCAGAACUCCGAUUGCGAAGGCAGCUUACUAAGCCAUAACUGACACUGAAGCACGAAAGCGUGGGGAUCAAACAGGAUUAGAUACCCCAGUAGUC